rnacentral:rRNA from 1 species
UGGGGAAUAUUGCGCAAUGGGGGAAACCCUGACGCAGCAACGCCGCGUGCGGGAUGAAGGCUUUCGGGUUGUAAACCGCUUUCAGUAGGGAAGAUAGUGACGGUACCUACAGAAGAAGCCCCGGCUAAAUACGUGCCAGCAGCCGCGGUAAUACGUAUGGGGCAAGCGUUAUCCGGAUUCAUUGGGCGUAAAGCGCGCGCAGGCGGGCGCCUAAGCGGGACCUCUAAUCUCGGGGCUCAACCCCGAGCCGGGUUCCGAACUGGGCACCUCGGGUUCGGUAGGGGUAGACGGAAUUCCCGGUGUAGCGGUGGAAUGCGCAGAUAUCGGGAAGAACACCGAUGGCGAAGGCAGUCUACUGGGCCGCAACCGACGCUGAGGCGCGAAAGCUGGGGGAGCGAACA